rnacentral:tRNA from 1 species
GGAGGGGUGGCCGAGUGGUUGAAGGCGCUUGAUUCGAAAUCAAGUUUACUCUAACUGGGUAACGUGGGUUCGAAUCCCACCCCCUCUG